AGUAAUGUAUGGGGAUCUGCCUGAUGGCGGGGGAUAACUACUGGAAACGGUAGCUAAUACCGCAUAAUGUCUGCGGACCAAAGCGGGGGACCUCCGGGCCUCGCGCCAUCAGAUGAACCCAUAUGGGAUUAGCUAGUAGGUGAGGUAACGGCUCACCUAGGCGACGAUCCCUAGCUGGUCUGAGAGGAUGACCAGCCACACUGGAACUGAGACACGGUCCAG
rnacentral:rRNA from 1 species